GGGAACUACCUUCCACACCUUGGCUGAUUUCUACUUUUCCUUUAAAAUUUGGCAGACGGGCUGGGCGUGGUGGCACGUGCCAGUAAUCCCAGCACUUUGGGAGGCCGAGGUGGGAGGAUUGCUUGAGCUCAGGAGUUUGAGACCAGCUUGGGCAACAUAGUGGAGACUCCAUCUCUACAAAAAAUUUUAAAAAUUAGCCGGGCAUGGUGGUGCGCGCCUGUGGUCCCAGCUACUCAGGAGGCUGAGGUGGGAGGAUCGCUUGAGCCCAGCAGGUAGAGCCUGCGGUGAGCUAUGAUUGUGCCGCAGCAUUCCAGCCUGGAAGACAGAGUGAGACUCUGUCUCCAAAAAAAAGACGGAAAAAGGCAGACACUCUAAACUUCCAGGUAGCUCUUUUUGCAUUAACCAAAAUGUUCUGACUAUAUCUCCAGUGAGGAUCUUGGGGAAACAGACUAUAUUUGAUUUUUUUUUCUUUUUAAGACUGGAACCUGGUACGUAGAAUGAAUCUCUAAGUCAAGGAUGAUGUUGACUUCUUUCCAUUGUUUUUAGAGACCACAACCUGCUUUCUUCUAGAGUACUUUUUGGUUUUCCAUGCAGGGCUCAGGAGCUAUACAGAUGGGAUAGAGGGUGUGAGUGCUGGGAAGCCCCAUCCAUGGCUCGCUGGAGAUUAGAGGCCUGUUAAUCUGAAGACAAAGGAAUGAAGACGAAAACGUUUCUGAAAAUGUGGGUGGAGACACCUGGGCCUUUACAGGAUCCUGAACCAACUUUGAAGGCAGAGAAGUGGGCUAGAAGAAGUGGGGUUGGAGCCUCCACCAAGGACAAGAAGGCCUUAGCCCCCUGCUUCCAGCUCAAGCUGAAGUGGCUGUGAGCUGAGCUAAGAAGACCCCACUUCGCCAGGAGGAGUGCCUCACGCCUG
rnacentral:lncRNA from 1 species